AGGUGGUUAGAGCGCACCCCUGAUAAGGGUGAGGUCCCUGGUUCGAGUCCAGGAUGGCCCACCUGAAGCAAGUCAAAAGUCAAAAGUCAAAAGCAAUAAACUAAUUAAUUUUGAAUUUUGAAUUUUGAAUUGUGUUGGGGGGGUUUAGCUCAGUUGGUAGAGCGCCUGCUUUGCAAGCAGGAUGUCAGCGGUUCGAGUCCGCUAACCUCCACAUGAAAAAGCGAAAAGCCAGAAAGGAAGAAUUCAGCAACUAACGGAAGUUAGACUGCUGGGUAAAACCUAGCCAGAACCUUGAAAACUGCAUAAAAACGCGAUUAGAUUAGCAGGCAGACACAGACAAACUGUGAAUGCAGGAUAAGCCAAUGAAAAAGU
rnacentral:tRNA from 1 species